UUUUUUUUUUUUUUUUUUUUUUUUUUGUUUGUCUUUUUAGGUCUACACCCACAGCAUAUGGAGGUUCCCAGGCUAGGAGUCCAAUCAGAGCUGUAGCCACUGUCCAAUACAUUUCCAAAUAACCAUCCUUUUCAUCACUGCUUUGAGCUGUAGCCACCAGAGCCACAGCAAUUCAGGAUCCGAGCCAUGUCUGUGACCUACACCACAGCUCAUGGCAACGCCAGAUCCUUAACACACUGAGCGAGGCCAGAGAUUGAAUCCAUGUCCUCAUGGAUGCUAGCUGGGUUCGCUAACUGCUGACCCACUACAGGAACUCCAGAAACAAACUUUUAAUAAGUGGUAUUGAUAUAACCAGAUAGCCACAUGGGAAAGGAAUAAUAUAUAUCUGUUUUGCACAAAGUACAUCAGGAUUAAUCCCAAGUAAAUCAGAAACUUAAGUGGAAACAUAAAGAGAGAGAUCUCAUUUAAAUAAUAGAAGAAAACAAGGAGUUCUUUCCUCUAGACCUACAAAUUGAUAGAUAAUCUUAUUACUUAUACUCACCCCAAAGGGAUAGGGAAAAGACUGCUAAUAUUUAACUAGAUAAAAAUAAAAAUCUUCACAUGUAAAGAACUCAUCAGAAGUAAGUAAAAAUGACAAAUGAUACAUUAAGGAGGAAGGUAUAACUUGUCUCAUAGACAAAAGGUUAACAGCCCUCCUGUACACAGAGUAUAGAGCAAGCUGUAAGAAGGAUGGGCGAUCCAUCCCCAAGAUAUACCGUUAAGGUACAAACUGAGAGUGAUGGUCAUCUUAUUACUUUUUAUGCAAUGUGAAUGUCAUUGAUGCUAUAUAUUUCUCAAUUUAUUGCUCAACUUCUUUAAGUAUUGCAGUUUUUUUCUACGUAGCAAACAUUUUCAAAAAUUUCCUCUGUGAUUUCAUUUUUGGGUGUUAGGCUUCCACUGGUUGAGAUGAUGCAGAUCAACGUUCUGAACCAGGAGUGAUUCUGCCCCACCCCCCACCCCCAGAGGACAUUUGACAGCAUCUUGAGACAUUUUUGAUUGCCAGGACUGGGAGAGGGCUACUUACACCUACUGGGUGGAGACAAAGGAUGGUGCUCAACAUGCUACAAGGCACAGGACAGCCCCUCAGCAAAGUAUCAUCCAGUCCAAUUUUCACCAGUGCUGAGGCUGAAAAAUGCUAUUUUCUUCUAGUACUUUGAUGGUUUCAUUUAUCAAAUACUUAUUUUAACUGGAGGAUUAUGUGAGAAAAAGAAUGUAUAUAUGUACAUGUGACUGAGUCACCUUGCUGUACAGUAGAGAAUUGACAUAACCCUGGAAACCAGCUACAAUGGAAAAAAUAAAAAUCAUUUUAAAUAAAAAAAUACUAUUUAACUAAAAUGUCUUUGGUGAAUUAUUUAAGGUAGGGGUCUAACUGUAACAGUUAACUGACUGUCCAAUACAUUUCCAAAUAACCAUCCCUUUCAUCACCACUUUGAAGUGCCACUUUUAUCAUAUACUAAAUUUAUAAAACUCAUACACCCAAAUGUUUACAUGCAUUAGUAUCUACUUAGGGGCCAUUUAUCCUAAUGGACUUUCUGCCUAUUUUUCCAUCACAACAAUAUUGUUUUAAUUUCUAUACAUUUACAAUACAUUUUAAUUUC
rnacentral:lncRNA from 1 species